AGGACUUGAAGAUGGAAGGAGUAAGGUAUUCUGAUUAAGUUUUUCUCCCUAAAAUUUAGCUCACCCAUGCAGAGAAUGUUAGAAGUUGAACUUUGGCUUUUAAAAGUAAAUGAUUGGAAAGAGAUUGGGCAAGAAGCAUAUGUGGAACAUCGCCUUGCUCAAAAUCGACAAUCAAAUGAUGCAAAUCUAACCCUUGUGGAGGAGUGAAGGAAGCAAUAGGGGCAUGAAUAAUUAUUUUUUUCUCUUGCAAAAGUAUAUUGAUAUGUUUGAAUAAAGUGAUGUUUCACUAUUUUGAAUGAUAGUGUUGAACCUUUCAGUCUUUUGUUUUCUAAUAUAUUGCUUUUAUUACACAA